rnacentral:tRNA from 1 species
GUGCGUGUGGUGAAGUGGCUUAACACGGAGUUCUGCAAAAGCUCUAUUUCUUUCAUGGGUUCGAAUCCCAUCACGCACU